rnacentral:rRNA from 1 species
GAUGAACGCUGGCGGCGUGCCUAAUACAUGCAAGUCGAGCGAACAGACGAGGAGCUUGCUCCUCUGACGUUAGCGGCGGACGGGUGAGUAACACGUGGAUAACCUACCUAUAAGACUGGGAUAACUUCGGGAAACCGGAGCUAAUACCGGAUAAUAUAUUGAACCGCAUGGUUCAAUAGUGAAAGACGGUUUUGCUGUCACUUAUAGAUGGAUCCGCGCCGCAUUAGCUAGUUGGUAAGGUAACGGCUUACCAAGGCAACGAUGCGUAGCCGACCUGAGAGGGUGAUCGGCCACACUGGAACUGAGACACGGUCCAGACUCCUUCGGGAGGCAGCAGUAGGGAAUCUUCCGCAAUGGGCGAAAGCUUGACGGAGCAACGCCGCGUGAGUGAUGAAGGUCUUCGGAUCGUAAAACUCUGUUAUUAGGGAAGAACAAAUGUGUAAGUAACUAUGCACGUCUUGACGGUACCUAAUCAGAAAGCCACGGCUAACUACGCG